UGCAUGUAGAGUGUUUAAGUACAGUGCCUGAAAUACAGUAGAUGCUCAUUGAUAGCAACUAUAUUUCAUUGUUAAUAAAAGAGACAAAUUUCUUUCAGCUGCUUUGAUUUAAGAAGACAAUACCAUUUCCAGACAUCUCUUUCCUGGGGCUAACUAUAUUAGUAUUCUGCCCUGAUGGGAAGGAAGAAACUUCAUGGGCAGUAAAUAGCCAAUUUAGAAGCAGGAGAAAUAUGAGGAUAAUAUUCUGUUUACUUAAGGGACACAAAGUAAAUAAAUGUUUUUGAAACUGAAUUGGAUUGAAGUGGAUCCAGAUUUUCACAGGAAAAAAAAGUUUCCUUUUCCCUUAGUUCUCCUUACACACCUGGCUUUGCAGGAAAAGAAAUUAGCAUUUGGAAACACACACCUGCCUCAGCCACAGGUAGAAAAGGCUUGGACUACAUGUUUGGUUUGAAGUUUGAAAAUCUCAGUCCUUCCCCAACCAUCAAAAAUAUUUACCUCCCUCCCUUGUCUCACAAUCAUCUAAGCUGCCUUCUUGAAUUGACUCCCACACCUGUUCAUCAUAGAGGGAAAAAAAUAAAAGCAAAUGCCAUAUAAAAUCUCUCUUCUUCAACAAGGUCUUCUGUUUUGAAAUACUGAAACAGUUCCUGUUCUAUUACCUCACCAGCUGUUGCCUUUUAUCUCCUAAAGGGAAUAGCUGACGUCUUACCAGUCAAAGUCAUUGUGCUUACGGACGCCAUAAAUAUCUCCUUUAAAUCCUACAUGAUAAAUUUCCCUCUGAUUGGUAAAGCAGAUACUGUAACAUGCAAAGGGGGAGCAGGAGAGUCUUUGAUGAUGUUAAACUAAGCCCCUGGAGAUAUCCCAGCUCUUCCUCCAGAAUUUUACUUUCCAACAACUGCAGUCAACAAAUACGGUAGAAAAUGUUGUCUGGAUUAUCUACUCCCAUUAUUUUUUUUUUAAACUGGUUUUCAAUGA